UCCUGAACUCUCUCUUCACGGCGAUUCUUUUUGUGGGGGUUAUAGGAGAGAGCCGCUCCAAAAUAGACACCCAAACACGCACCACGGCUCUGAAACGAAGUAACAAUUUGCUACCAGCUGAGAACAAGUGGUGGAGGCGUUAACUGAAGCACAGCAGAAAAUAAUGGUUGAAAGGAAGUGCCGGUUUGGCUCAACGCAGUUGUACAUGGCUGUGUGGUUUUUGCCGUAGCCACUGUGAGGCCAGCAGAAAACGAAAAAACAAAACAUCAGAGGAGCAAGAGAGAGAGAGCAGCAAGACAGCACCGCACCCUGGCGCACCUGUUCUGUUGGAGUCGACUCAUCUCCUGGCCGGCCUGACAUCCCACCGUGGACCGCUAACCACAGAAGUGGCAGCAAGAUUGACGUUGGAAGGUGGCACCGAAGUGUGUCACCAAUCUCCCUCUGUGUUCAAUGGAACAUAUUGAACAUGAUUACUACUAAAUCGCUUGUCCUUAACUGUAUAUCAUCUUUAUGCACUACAAUAUGUUUCAAGACUUUUUACUGUUGGCAAAUACUACCAUCUAAUCAUGUGUGUUGCACAGGAGAACUGUAUUUAUUCACCCUAUAACGACGGUAGACUCUAGUUAUUUUGUGCGGAGUAAGGAUUGAAGAUCAAUGUCAAACUGUCCAAAAAUAAAACCAUUUCCUCUCUUAA